AAAAAUUUUAAUAACUUAAUUGAUAUGAUACGUUUGAAUAAUCCAUAUAAUACAUUUGGAGUAACCACUAUGAAUGCAGCAUUAAUUGUGAUGAUUAACAAUGCAUAUUCUCAGAAGCAACUUUCUGAGAUAGAAGAAUUUGCACUCUAUCAUACGAAAUUUUGUUUGAGUGUUAAAAACAAGUUAAAAGCAC